rnacentral:tRNA from 1 species
GAGAUAAAACGACAAAGAAAAAGCUUCUAACUUUUUUCUAAGCGGUUUAAUUCCGUUAAUAUCUCC